UCAGGACGAACGCUGGCGGCGUGCUUAACACAUGCAAGUCGAGCGGUAAGGCCUUUCGGGGUACACGAGCGGCGAACGGGUGAGUAACACGUGGGUGAUCUGCCCUGCACUUCGGGAUAAGCCUGGGAAACUGGGUCUAAUACCGGAUAUGACCUCCGGUUGCAUGACUUGGGGUGGAAAGAUUUAUCGGUGCAGGAUGGGCCCGCGGCCUAUCAGCUUGUUGGUGGGGUAAUGGCCUACCAAGGCGACGACGGGUAGCCGACCUGAGAGGGUGACCGGCCACACUGGGACUGAGACACGGCCCAGACUCCUACGGGAGGCAGCAGUGGGGAAUAUUGCACAAUGGGCGAAAGCCUGAUGCAGCGACGCCGCGUGAGGGAUGACGGCCUUCGGGUUGUAAACCUCUUUCAGCAGGGACGAAGCGCAAGUGACGGUACCUGCAGAAGAAGCACCGGCUAACUACGUGCCAGCA
rnacentral:rRNA from 1 species